rnacentral:tRNA from 1 species
GCGCGGUUAGCUCAGUGGUAGAGCACUUCCUUGACACGGAAGGGGUCAGAGGUUCGAACCCUCUAUCGCGCACCA